AGCUGACCACCAGUAGGGAAGGAUUUCUUCUGGAGAUCCGCUCUGCUGGAGUUUGGUAAGCAAGCUCAGGAUACGGAUGAUGCUGUGAUCUGGACACAUGACCAGCUUGGGCUCUGGAGGAUCCUGGCUGUGAUGAAGCCUACCUAGGGAUGAGACCCAGACUCAGUCAGGGAACAGACCAGGCACUCCAGAUCGUGUUACCUAACUUGUUUAUCCUAAGGCGAUGCAUAGAGCUGUGACAAUGGUGGGCCACGCAGAUGCCUCACAUAACUGCAGCGAAGUCUGAUGAGGAAUUAGGCCUCAUUUGUUUUGUGAGGAGAACUAUAUUUAGACAGUCUCAAUUCCACCACUAUUCCAGGACUUGAUCAUUCUUAUUGACCGGCUUGCAAGGCAGCUGGCUACCAAGUGCCAAUGGGAAACAACAACAGGAGAACCAUAAGCAGUAUUUUGACCCACAAAUGGUGAGAGUAACAACAUGAUGACAGUAAUCUUUUGAUCAUGGCUGUAUAAUUUAUUGCUUUAAGUGUUGUGGAGGUGGAUAUCUGGAUCAAACUAGAUCUUUUAAGCACUGACUGUAGAGAUAUCAAUUUCCAUAUUGAAGUACCCCCACCCUUCCAUUUUUUUCCCAGGUAACCUCUGGAGUUGAGCAGUUCUCUCUGUAGUUGUUUACAGUUCCACUUGUGUUGUGGUACUUCUGGUUUAUUUGAUGUGAACAGUAUUCCUGGCAGCUUCCCCACAGAAGUUCCACUUCGGAAAAGCGGAUGUGCAAACAUAGAAUGAACACAUCUGUAUAUGCUUAAUAGUUUUCUUUAAUCUUCUAGGAAUAACUCAGAAAGAUACAGGGAGGAAUUCCAAAAUGUUCUCUGUACAUCUGUUUGCUUUUUAUGUAUGUAAAACUGUCUAGGCUUCCCCUUGAAAGAUUUUAUUUUAAGCAAUGGGAGUUGGACAAGCAAGGUUAGCAGCAGGAAGGAAACAACAAAGUCUGCUCAAGUGGACUGGCAGUAGGAAACUCAGUGAACUGAAAUGCAGUUCUGCCUGGCUGUGACAGUACAGAUGACACACAUAGAAACAUCUGCUGCUAGACUUAUUGAUGCAUCUGUAAAAUGUAGCACAUUGCAUGAUAGAUCCAAUAUAUCAUAAAAUAGAAAUAUGACAGUCUAAUAAUCAGCUUAGAAAAAACAUGUUGGUGACACAACUAACAGAAAGACAGAAUAAGCAGAACAAUUUUUUUCAAAUUACUUUGUAUUUUCAGCAGUGUUCUUGUACUGGCUUCAGGGUGUUUGUCAGAGAUCUGUGAUGAAAUUUUACUCUUCCUGUGCUUCAUCAUUGAAAACAGUUUCUCACAAGUGUGGGUACUGCCAAAAACCAAUGACACGAAUAAGGUGUGAUGGUGAAAUGGGGUAUUUUCUUCUCAUUUAGAAGUCUGGUAGAGAGAUGUCAAAGUUUUGAGUUGAGCAUAUGACUGCAAAUCUAUACAUUCAAUUUGAAAAUUCCCAGGUGCUUUAUUUAUGUCAACUGAAAGUGGAGCUGCAACUGUAAAACAAAAAAAAAACAACUACACACACACAAAACACCAUCAUUUUUCAGCAAUCUUGAAACCUGUUCUCAGAUUUCUUUACCAAAAUGGAAAGCACAGAUGUGUAUUUUUUGCUGCUCCCAGGACAGUAUUCAUCCCAUGUAUUACAAUGCAUACAAUUACUUGCCAUCACCUUAGUUGGCACUGCCCUGCAUGUUCCCUGCAUCCAGGUUCCAGCCCAGAAAGUGGCAAUUGUACACUUUGGUUUGGUUGCUAUGCAAUGGGUGCGUGCCCAGGGCUAGGCCAGGCCACUUGGUGGCAGAAGUGCUGCCUUGAUAGUGUGGGGUAGUGGGUGGCUGCAUUGAAAGCUGGGCUGGACUGCAUGCAGCCUUUGAGUUGGACAUGCCAGCUCUAGGGGAACUGUAUCAGGCUACCAUGGAAAUCUUCAAGAGAGGGAUCACCUCUUCUAUUCAGAGGACAAAGGUGUCCUCCACCUCUCCACCUGCCUCUUCUUCCCUAGGGGUUUCCAAGGGGCAAGGUAGCAAAGGUGGGUUGCAGGGCUGCUGUGUAGACAGAUGACCUCCCUGCCCACAUCUGGCAGCACAAGGCAGACCACAGAGGUGUGCUGGUUUUUAGCACUAUUAUGAGGGUGAUUCUCUGAGAAAGAAUUGGAGAUUUCAGUGUUAAUUACCCACUGUGUUAAUCUAUUAAAAAUUAAUAUAUAGACAUCUACAGAGGAAGAGAUGGAAUAUUUAAGAGGAUCCUCCCUUGUCAGCAAGAUAUUGUAAAUUUCCUCUUUAAAGAAUGAAAAUAUGAUUUCCA